AUGUUGCUUCUAGACCUGUUCGAUGUAGACAGGUUAAGUGGGUGCAGGGCAGCUGUUGUUGGAAGGUCACCUCCUUGGCUCCUGCAGCUGGGCCGAGGGCCUGCUGGAGCAGGGCUGGUUGGGCCAGGAAGUCCUGCAUGGCUUCUGGCCACGCUGCACAAACACGGGUGUGGAGCAGGCAAUGCCCAAGGGUGGUCACUGCUCUGUAGGGAGCUCCCACAGCCCCCCAACCAACAGUCCCUCCCCAGUGUUUGCACCCUCUCGCAGUGGGGCUGCCCCAGGAGAGCUGGGGGGGGUACACCCACCUCAUUUCUGCCCUUGGGAGUUGGCCUGGGAGAGACCUCCAGGCAGAGAAGGGCACAGGGCAUGGAUGUAAUCCCUGAGGGAAGAGGCUGGGCUCCCCACCCAAAGAACACCUUGAGUACUGUGUCCAGUUUUGGGCCCCCUACCAUAAAAAAGACAUUGAGGUGCUGGAGCGGGUCCAGAGAAGGGCGACAAAGAUGGUGAGGGGUCUGGAGAACAAGUAUGAUGAGGAGAGGCUGAGGGAGCUGGGGUUAUUCAGCCUGGAGAAGAGGAGGCUGAGGGGAGACCUUAUUGCUCUCUCCAACUCCCUGAAAGGAGGGUGUAGAGAGGUGGGGGUCUGUCUCUUCUCUCAAGUCACAGGCGACAGGAUGAGAGGAAAUGGCCUCAAGUUGCCCCAGGGGAGGUUCAGGCUGGAUAUUAGGAAAAAUUUUUUCACUGAAAGGGUUCUCAGGCAUUGGAAUGGGCUGCCCAGGGAGGGGGUUGAGGCCCCAUCCCUGGAGGUGUUCAAAAGACGGGUUGAUGUAGUGCUGGGAGGUCUGGUUUAGUGAUGAUGCUCCUUGUUUGUUGUGCGGGUGUCUAUUUUUGUCAGUUAGGUUGACGGUUGGACAAGAUGAUCUUUAAGGUCCCUUCCAACCUAGAAGAUUCUGUGAUUCUGUGAACAACUCACCUCCCUGCUGGGAAGAGUUCCUUGUUGGGGGCAGACCUGCCUGGGCCAGCCGGGCUUCUUGCUGCUUCAGAUAAAUGAUGCUCCUCAGUCUCACAGCUCCAGGUGUACGAAGCUCCAACCGAUGGACAUUUGUGCUUUGAGUCGUUUCAGCUCCAGACAGUGGGUGUUUCAGAUCAGAUUUAUUUGAAGCACUGAGCUAUUUUAGCUCCAGCUACUGCCAAUGCUGAAGAGAUGCUCCUGAUGCUUAAAGCUCUGCAUUGCAGAAGCUCCCUCUUGUUACAAGCUAAUUAAAGCUUCCCCCCCUUCAUCUGUCGAGGUCCACCUAAUUACAGCUCUGCCUUAAAAACUGCUCCUUCUUGUUAAAAACUAAUUAAAGCAGCUUAGGCUUUCGACAAGGUUGUAAAUCAACCAUUGUCAUCACCUGAAUAUUAUUGUACAUUGUCGACAUAUUAUUUAGUAACUAUUCCAGUGGUUGUACCAACCUUGACUUGAAGACCUGGAGGAAAAGUACCUUUUGUCCACCUGACGCUGGGUUCAGCUUGGUGCGUGCCAGCCUCCCUAACUUCAAGGACCAACGUGACUGGACCCCCAUCUCCAGCAGCAUCUCCCCCUUUCCCUGCCCGCCUUGCCCCCAACACUCUCCCAUUCCACACACCUCUGCCUGCCCAAAGUUCCCCCCGAGCCUCUCUUUUGGGGGCUGAAAACUGCUCACUGAGCCUUCAAGUCCCCCAAAACACAUGACUUAGUCUUUUCCAGAACUUCAGAAACGCAGCACUUGCCCCCUGGUUUUGAGCUCCCAAAACACAGGGCUUACACUUUUUUCUGAGCUUCAGAAACACAGGGCUCUAACUCUGCUUUUGAGACCCAAAAUCAUUCCCCAGAGAUUGUUUUCUGGGCCUGAAAAGCACAACGUAAUCUGUUUCAAGCAAUGAAAACACAAAACUUACUAUUUAAGUCACAGCACACGUGAUUUAUUUUUUUUUUUUUCUGAGCUCCAAAACCACAGGACUAAGUCUGCUCUCAUGCUGUGAAAAGACAGGACUCGAUUGAUUUUUGAGCUUUAGAAGUGCAGGUCUCCUGCUCUGGGUUUUGAGUUCCAAAAAUGCAGCACUUAAAAUCUUCGUUAUGGGGAUGAAACCCUUGCACUGCAGGGAAAUUCUGUUUCCCAACUCCGUAUGAAAAUUGCUGUCAGUGGCUGGGAGGGCUGUAGCCCCCCCCCCCCCAGGUUCAGGGAGAGCUUGAGAGCUGGGGAGGGUGGACACCCUCGCUGCAGGGACAGCCGGGCCCCGUCUCAGGGGCAAGAGAUCGCUUUAUUUUAUACUUAUUUCCCCAGCACCGCCUCCCACACACCCCAAACCCCACCGCGGGGCACAACAGCCACAAUCCCCGGCGAGGAGCCCUGCCUGGGAAGCACCCCUCCAAGCUUCUCCAAGGCGACACCCCCCCCCGGCCCCCAACGAGCCCCGAGGAGCAGCAACCGGGGCCUUUCCCCGUCCGUCCGGGCACCGGGACCCGUUCUGGCCGCAAGAGACACCGGGGACACCACCGUCUGACCGGUGCAGGGAGCAGCCACGGGGACACACCCGCAACCCCACCACGACCAGGCCCCCGCACAGCAUCCCCCCCGCCACAGGACGCGGUUCUAGUUUGCCUAGUCUCAGUUUCCGCCCGGGGAGAUCAAGGCCGAGCCCCCUCCUGCCGCCGCCGGUCCGGAGCUGCGGGGCCAGCAGCAGAGUGAACUCCCACCAGGGCCGACAAGGUAGACCUAGCGGCCGGACAGCACUUCCCCACUCCCGCUGCUUCCCGUCCCGGCUCACGGCAGCGCUACGCUCCCCGGCCGGCACCGCAUACCCUCCGCCAACCAUCCCCGCCCUCCGCCACGGCUGACUGAGGCGGCUGCCGCCCUGCGCAGGCGCUCUGUGCCCCCACCCGGCCCCGCCCACCUCCACCCCACCAAUCACCGCUCAGCUCGGCUCCGGCCCCGCUCACUCCCGCCCCGCCCGUCUCCACAUCCACCAAUCGUCGCGCCGUCCAGCUCCGGCCCCCGCCCACUCCCGCCCUGCCCAAUCCAGGCGGAGGGGCGGGGCGGGCUGAGGGUCACCCCGCGCCGGCCCGUUCCACGGCGGCUGCGGCUGGAGGGGUGUCCCCUGUUUCGCCGAAGGCGGCAAGAAGGCGGUGGGGAGGGGGCGCCACCUGUCCUUUGGGAUCACGCCGCCAAAAGAUAGCGCCUUCCCGCCCGGGCGGUGCCGCCGUUGAGGGAUGUCCGCCGCCCGCCGCAAAAUGGCGGCGCCCGCGCCAUAAAGCGGCAUCCCGAAUAAAAUGGCGGCAUCCAUUAAAGGGGCGCG
rnacentral:lncRNA from 1 species